rnacentral:rRNA from 1 species
UACGUAGGGUGCAAGCGUUAAUCGGAAUUACUGGGCGUAAAGCGUGCGCAGGCGGUUGUGCAAGACAGAUGUGAAAUCCCCGGGCUAACCUGGGAGCUGCAUUUGUGACUGCACGGCUAGAGUGUGUCAGAGGGGGGUAGAAUUCCACGUGUAGCAGUGAAAUGCGUAGAUAUGUGGAGGAAUACCGAUGGCGAAGGCAGCCCCCUGGGAUAACACUGACGCUCAUGCACGAAAGCGUGGGGAGCAAACAGG